rnacentral:rRNA from 1 species
GUCUACAGCCAUGCCACCCUGCAUAAGCCUGAUCCCGUCUGAUCUCAGAAGGUCUAAUCUCAGAAGCUAAGCAGGGUCUGGCCUGGUUAGUAUUUGGAUGGGAGACCACCUAGGAAGACCAGAUGCUGUAGGCG